rnacentral:rRNA from 1 species
GGUAACUCGGGGUAAGUAGCCGGAGUAAUACGGAGGGUGCAAGCGUUAGCCAGAUGUACUGGGUUUAAAGGGUGUGUAGGCGGACAUUUAAGUCAGAGGUGAAAGCUCCGGGCUCAACCCGGAAACUGCCUUUGAGACUAGUUUUCUUGAAUUUCGUUGAGGUUGGCAGAAUAUAUCAUGUAGCGGUGAAAUGCAUAGAUAUGAUAGAGAAUACCGAGUGCGUAGGCAGCUGGCUGAACGACGAUUGACGCUGAGGCACGAAAGCGUGGGUAGCGAACAGGAUUAGAUACCCUAGUAGUC